rnacentral:rRNA from 1 species
UACGUAGGGGGCGAGCGUUGUCCGGAUUUAUUGGGCGUAAAGAGCGUGUAGGCGGCCAGGUAGGUCUGCUGUGAAAACUCGAGGCUCAACCUCGAGACGUCGGCGGAAACCAUCUGGCUAGAGUCCGGAAGAGGAGAGUGGAAUUCCUGGUGUAGCGGUGAAAUGCGCAGAUAUCAGGAGGAACACCGGUGGCGAAGGCGGGUCUCUGGGCAAUAACUGACGCUGAGGAGCGAAAGCGUGGGGAGCGAACAGG